AGUUGUGGUGGUUUUCUUUCUGGCACAUUUGUUAAGUUUUCAAAUGGGCCUGACUCUACCACAUAUAUCAUAUAGGAGCUGGUAAGGGCUUGAUGACAAAGAAAUUUUUCUCUAGCCUUACUUGCAUCAAAGAUUGGCUCCCACAUGU